rnacentral:rRNA from 1 species
AUUGAACGCUGGCGGCAGGCCUAACACAUGCAAGUCGAACGAGUGGCGGACGGGUGAGUAAUGUCUGGGAAACUGCCUGAUGGAGGGGGAUAACUACUGGAAACGGUAGCUAAUACCGCAUACCAUCGGAUGUGCCCAGAUGGGAUUAGCUAGUAGGUGGGUUAACGGCUCACCUAGGCGACGAUCCCUAGCUGGUCUGAGAGCAUGACCAGCAACACUGGAACUUAUACACGGGCCAGACUCCUACGGUAGGCAGCAGUGGGGAAUAUGGCACAAUGGGAGCAAGCCUGAUGCAGCCAUGCCGCGGGUAUGAAGAAGGCCUUCGGGUUGUAAAGUACUUUCAGCGGGGAGGCGUUACCCGCAGAAGAAGCACCGGCUAACUCCGUGCCAGCCGCCGCGGUAAUUC